rnacentral:piRNA from 1 species
CGUUCCAUUUUAUUUCUGAGGUU